rfam:Pan troglodytes isolate Yerkes chimp pedigree #C0471 (Clint) chromosome 6, whole genome shotgun sequence.
AUUUUAGUAUAAGUAUGUCCCAGGCAGUGUUGAGGACAUACUUAUGCUAAAA